AUCUGGCCUCCUUCGGGGGUCCGAGUUGUAAUUUGUAGAGGAUGCUUCGGGUGUGGCCGCCGUCUAAGUUCCUUGGAACAGGACGUCAGAGAGGGUGAGAAUCCCGUCUUGGGCGGCUGGUCCGCGCCCGUGUGAAGCUCCUUCGACGAGUCGAGUUGUUUGGGAAUGCAGCUCUAAGCGGGUGGUAAAUUUCAUCUAAAGCUAAAUACUGGUCGGAGACCGAUAGCGCACAAGUAGAGUGAUCGAAAGGUUAAAAGCACCUUGAAAAGGGAGUUAAACAGCACGUGAAAUUGUUGAAAGGGAAGCGCUUGCGGCCAGACUCGGGGGCGGGGUUCAGCGGGUGCUCGUCGCCCGUGCACUCCCCGUCUCCCGGGCCAGCAUCAGUUUCGACGGCCGGUCAAAGGCCCCCGGAAUGUGUCGUCUCUCGGGACGUCUUAUAGCCGGGGGUGCAAUGCGGCCCGUUGGGACUGAGGAACGCGCUCCGGCUCGGAUGCUGGCGUAAUGGCCGUAAGCGGCCCGUCUUGAAACACGGACCAAGGAGUCUAACAUCCACGCGAGUGUUCGGGUGUCAAACCCGUGCGCGCAGUGAAAGCGAACGGAGGUGGGAGCCUUAGGGCGCACCAUCGACCGAUCCUGAAGUCUUCGGAUGGAUUUGAGUAGGAGCGUGGCCGUUGGGACCCGAAAGAUGGUGAACUAUGCCUGAAUAGGGUGAAGCCAGAGGAAACUCUGGUGGAGGCUCGCAGCGGUUCUGACGUGCAAAUCGAUCGUCAAAUUU
rnacentral:rRNA from 1 species